AUGAACUAAACUGGUAUCUUGAAUGAGAAAGCAUUCAAAGUAGAUAUUUUUCUGCUGUGCAAGAUCACCGAGUGACUUCAAGUUAUUCAUCCUGAAUGAUUUAAUACAUUUUAUAAUGUUUUGGCUUACGAGAGCGCUAUUAAAGUUAUGAGUCAACUAGGAGGUAUCAGUAUAAUUGAACCCGUAACAUCAUU